rnacentral:rRNA from 1 species
GUUUGAUACCCCGAAACUACGUGAGCUACUUCAAGACAGCCUAUUAAUAGGGCUAACCCAUCUCUGUGGCAAAAGCGUGGGAAGAACUUUGAGUAGAGGUGACAAACCUACCGAACCUAGUUAUAGCUGGUUGUCCAAGAAAUGAAUAAAAGUUCAGCCUCUAAGCUUCUCCUUUCACCUGAACUUAACCCCUUUAGAUGUAUUAAAGAAACUAAGAAAGUUAGUCAAAGGAGGUACAGCUCCUUUGAAUCAAGACACAACUUUAACAGGCGGGUAAAGAUCAUAAUAACCAAAGCUAGACAUUCUGGUGGGCCUAAAAGCAGCCAUCCCUUAGAAAGCGUUAAAGCUCAAACAUAUUACUUAUACCUUCUUAUCCUGAUCAAUAAAUCUCACCCCCCUAACCAUACUGGACCCUCCCAUGCCCCCAUGGGUGUGAUUAUGCUAAUAUGAGUAAUAAGAGAGCCCGCCUCUCUCCCUGCACACGUGUACCUCGGAACAGACAACCCACCGACCAUUAACGACCCCAAACAAAGAGGGCAGUAAAUCAUAAACUAAAAUCAAGUAAAACAUUUAAAAAUUAACCGUUAACCCCACACAGGUGUACCCCAAGGAAAGACCUAAAGAAAGAGAAGGAACUCGGCAAACACAUAAAGUCUCGCCUGUUUACCAAAAACAUCGCCUCUUGUACCCCCC